GACGAACGCUGGCGGCGUGCUUAACACAUGCAAGUCGAACGAGACGAUUGAAAGCUUGCUUUUGAAAGUCGAGUGGCAAACGGGUGAGUAACGCGUAGACAACCUGCCUUUGAGAUGGGGACAACAGUUCGAAAGGACUGCUAAUACCGAAUGUUGUAUAUUUUCCACAUGGAAGAUAUAUUAAAGAUGGCCUCUAUUUAUAAGCUAUCGCUCAAAGAUGGGUCUGCGUCUGAUUAGCUAGUUGGUGGGGUAACGGCCUACCAAGGCGACGAUCAGUAGCCGGUCUGAGAGGAUGAACGGCCACAUUGGGACUGAGACACGGCCCAGACUCCUACGGGAGGCAGCAGUGGGGAAUCUUCCACAAUGGACGAAAGUCUGAUGGAGCAACGCCGCGUGAGUGAAGAAGGGUUUCGGCUCGUAAAGCUCUGUUGUCGGGGACGAAUGUGCAGUAUUUGAAUAAAGUACUGUAAUGACGGUACCUGACGAGGAAGCCACGGCUAACUCCGUGCCAGCCGCCGCUGUAA
rnacentral:rRNA from 1 species